rnacentral:rRNA from 1 species
GUGUCAGCAGCCGCGGUAAGACGAAGGAUGCAAGCGUUAUCCGGAUUCAUUGGGUUUAAAGGGAGCGUAGGUGGACUGAUAAGUCAGUGGUGAAAGCCGGUCGCUUAACGAUCGAAUUGCCAUUGAUACUGUUGGUCUUGAGUACAGAUGCUGUGGGCGGAAUAUGACAUGUAGUGGUGAAAUACAUAGAGAUGUCAUAGAACACCGAUUGCGAAGGCAGCUCACAAAACUGUAACUGACACUGAGGCUCGAAAGUGCGGGGAUCAAACAGGAUUAGAAACCCUGGUAGUCC